GAUGAACCGAAGCAGCAGAAACUGCAGUUGUAGACACAGGCUCUUAAUGCUUAGCUAAGUGGCGUCAUCCAGUUGAAAUUGAAUCGACCCAUUAGAACUCCCCAUAGGAAUCUCUGUAUCCGGUCCCUAGACUGCAGCUAAAUCCAUUUGAGAGCCUGCAAGUUCCCAUACAAGGCCAGUUUUAUCCAUACUCUACUGAAG
rnacentral:lncRNA from 1 species